GCUUUUGUGGUGUAAAAGAACACAUUUGAGUUUCGAUCAACUGUUUAGGUUUGUCCUGCAAAAGCG
rnacentral:tRNA from 1 species